GCCGUGGGCGCUGGAGAAUUGAGGGGGGCUGCUCCUAGUACGAGAGGACCGGAGUGGACGCAUCACUGGUGUUCGGGUUGUCAUGCCAAUGGCACUGCCCGGUAGCUAAAUGCGGAAGAGAUAAGUGCUGAAAGCAUCUAAGCACGAAACUUGCCCCGAGAUGAGUUCUCCCUGAGACUUUAAGUCUCCUGAAGGAACGUUGAAGACGACGACGUUGAUAGGCCGGGUGUGUAAGCGCAGCGAUGCGUUGAGCUAACCGGUACUAAUGAACCGUGAGGCUUAACCUUACAACGCCGAAGCUGUU
rnacentral:rRNA from 1 species